AGAGUUUGAUUCUGGCUCAGGAUGAACGCUGGCGGCGUGCUUAACACAUGCAAGUCGAGCGAAGCACUUGCCAUUGACUCUUCGGAGGAUUUGGCAUUUGACUGAGCGGCGGACGGGUGAGUAACGCGUGGGUAACCUGCCUCAUACAGGGGAAUAACAGUUAGAAAUGGCUGCUAAUGCCGCAUAAGCGCACAGGGCCGCAUGGUCCGGUGUGAAAAACUCCGGUGGUAUGAGAUGGACCCGCGUCUGAUUAGGUAGUUGGCGGGGUAAUGGCCCACCAAGCCGACGAUCAGUAGCCGACCUGAGAGGGUGACCGGCCACAUUGGGACUGAGACACGGCCCAG
rnacentral:rRNA from 1 species